GGGGACUCCACUAAUCCUAUAUCUGUAGUGAACCAGUCCAUACUUCAGGAGACGGUAGAUAUUAUUGGGGGACUCCACUAAUCCUAUAUCUGUAGUGAACCAGUCCAUACUUCAGGAGAAGGUAGAUAUUAUUGGGGGACUCCACUAAUCCUAUAUCUGUAGUGAACCAGUCCAUACUUCAGGAGAAGGUAGAUAUUAUUGGGGGACUCCACUAAUCCUAUAUCUGUAGUGAACCAGUCCAUACUUCAGGAGACUGUAGAUAUUAUUGGGGGACUCCACUAAUCCUAUAUCUGUAGUGAACCAGUCCAUACUUCAGGAGACUGUAGAUAUUAUUGGGGGACUCCACUAAUCCUAUAUCUGUAGUGAACCAGUCCAUACUUCAGGAGAAGGUAGAUAUUAUUGGGGGACUCCACUAAUCCUAUAUCUGUAGUGAACCAGUCCAUACUUCAGGAGACUGUAGAUAUUAUUGGGGGACUCCACUAAUCCUAUAUCUGUAGUGACCGAGUCCAUACUUCAGGAGACUGUAGAUAUUAUUGGGGGACUCCACUAAUCCUAUAUCUGUAGUGAACCAGUCCAUACUUCAGGAGACUGUAGAUAUUAUUGGGGGACUCCACUAAUCCUAUAUCUGUAGUGAACCAGUCCA